UGGGGAAUAUUGGACAAUGGGCGCAAGCCUGAUCCAGCCAUGCCGCGUGAGUGAUGAAGGCUCUAGGGUUGUAAAGCUCUUUUCGCCGGGGAAGAUAAUGACGGUACCCGGAGAAGAAGCCUCGGCUAACUCCGUGCCAGCAGCCGCGGUAAGACGGAGGAGGCUAGCGUUGUUCGGAAUUACUGGGCGUAAAGCGCAUGAAGGUGGUGAAGUAAGCCGGAUGUGAAAUCCCAGGGCUUAACCCUGGAAGUGCAUCCGGGACUGCUUUGCUCGAGUCCGGAAGAGGAGGGCGGAAUUCCCAGUGUAGAGGUGAAAUUCGUAGAUAUUGGGAAGAACACCAGUGGCGAAGGCGGCUCUCUGGUCCGGUACUGACACUUUAGUGCGAAAGCGUGGGGAGCAAACAGGAUUAGAUACCCCUGUAGUCCCUGAGCGGGCUGGCAAGGCGCAU
rnacentral:rRNA from 1 species